UCAGCAGAGAUGGAAACUCUAAGACAAGUAAAAGAAAAUCACUAGAAACAGAAAGCAGCAUAUCAGAGAUGAUUCCUUCUUAUGGGCUCAUCAGCAGAAGGAGUCAGUGAAAUUGAAGAUAGAUUGGUAGGAAUUACCCAAAUGGAAACACAGGGAAGAAGAAGGGGUGGAAACCAAAGCAGAGCAUCCAAGAACCUUGGUAACGUAAUACCACCACACAUGAUGCCAACUCUCCGGCAGAUCUGUCCCAGGGGGAGGAGCAAAGGGAGUACAAGAAAGAUUUGGUGAGACAACAGCUGAGACCAUCCCCCAAAUAAGGAAAAACAUCACAUCAUACCCCCAAGAAGUUUAGGGAAGCACAGACAGGCCCGAAAAACAGCACAGCAACACCAAACAACCAUACAGACAUUAUCAAAGUCACAUGGCCUAUACCAGAGAAAGAAGUCUGGGGGGGUCCUCCAAACGGGUCAGAGCCGACUUCUUAUCAGAGGCUGGGCAAGCCGGGAGACUUCCUUAAACAGAAUCCUAUACCCAGCAAAAUACCUUCCAAAUAGGAGGUUGAAAUAAAGACUUUUUCAGAAGAAACUGAGUUUAUUGACAGGAAUGUUAAAGAAAACCCAGAACUCGGUCAAAAGAAUGUACCAGAAAGUUUCAGAUUCAUUCAAAGAAGUGAAGGGCUCUGGAAGUGGCAAACAUGGAAGGAUUGUUAUUCUGGGCCACAGAGCAAAUUCAGCUUGGAAUGUUCCUGAAUUCUAUGGUGGGAGUUUCCCAAGCCUCUAGGUCCCAGCGCAAGGCUCCGGAACCAUGGUGCAUGGCUGCGCACUUGUUGACAAGAUGGUACUCACUCACGUCCACAGCUUUUGCCUAAGAGAGAAAACAUACGACCCUUGACCUUCUGAGUUUGACUUAUUUCACUGAACAUAAUGGUGUCUAGUUUCAUCAGUUUUCCUGCAAACACCAUGAUUCCAUUUUUCUUACGGCUGAAUAAAACUCUACGUGUA